rnacentral:rRNA from 1 species
CGUGUAGGCGGCUUUUCAAGUUCGUCGUGAAAGCUCCCGGCUAAACCGGGGAGGGUCGAGGGAGACUGAGAAGCUAGAGGGCGGUAGAGGGACAGGGAAUUCCGGGUGUAGUGGUGAAAUGCGUAGAGAUCCGGAGGAACACCAGUGGCGAAGGCGCUGUCCUGGGCCGCAACUGACGCUGAGACGCGAAAGCAUGGGGAGCGAACGGGAUUAGAAACCCCGGUAGUCCAUGCCGUAAACGAUGUCGACUAGGUGUUCGGCUCCCGGAAGGGAGCGGGGUGCCGCAGCCAACGCGAUAAGUCGACCGCCUGGGGAGUACGGUCGCAAGGCUAAA